CUCUGUGACUCCGUACGGGAGGCAUCAGUGAGGAAUAUUGGUCAAUGGGCGAAAGCCUGAACCAGCCAUGUCGCGUGUAGGACGACUGCCCUAUGGGUUGUAAACUGCUUUUAUAUGGGAAGAAAUGCGAGUACGUGUACUUGUUUGCCGGUACCAUAUGAAUAAGCAUCGGCUAACUCCGUGCCAGCAGCCGCGGUAAUACGGAGGAUGCGAGCGUUAUCCGGAUUCAUUGGGUUUAAAGGGUGCGUAGGCGGAAGUGUAAGUCAGGGGUGAAAGUUUGCAGCUCAACUGUAAAAUUGCCUUUGAUACUGCAUUUCUUGAGUACAUUUGAGGUAGGCGGAAUGUGUUGUGUAGCGGUGAAAUGCUUAGAUAUAACACAGAACACCGAUUGCGAAGGCAGCUUACUAAACUGUAACUGACGCUGAUGCACGAAAGCGUGGGGAUCGAACAGGAUUAGAUACCCUGGUAG
rnacentral:rRNA from 1 species